AGUAAGGCUAUGAUGUUUAUAACUACCUAUUUUAUGAUUAUAUGGAAAUAUCCUUUGUGAUUAUAAUAUACCAAUGGAUCCUUCUGAGCCUUUUU